rnacentral:rRNA from 1 species
CCCUUAGAUGUUCUGGGCCGCACGCGCGCUACACUGAUGCAUUCAACGAGUUUCUUCCUGGUCCGAGAGGAAUGGGUAACCUUUUGAAAGUGCAUCGUGAUAGGGAUAGACUAUUGCAAUUAUUGGUCUUCAACGAGGAAUUCCUAGUAGCCGUAGUUCAUCAGACUGCAUCGAUUACGUCCCUGCCCUUUGUACACACCGCCCGUCGCUCCUACCGAUUGAAUGCUCAGGUGAGCCAUUCGGACUUUCAUCAUGCUGGUUUCCAGUUUUGAUGAAGGAAAGUCUUGCGAACCUUAUCAUUUAGAGGAAGGAGAAGUCGUAACA